ACGGGGGGGGCAAGCGUUGUUCGGAAUUACUGGGCGUAAAGGGCGCGUAGGCGGCUUUUCAAGUCGGGCGUGAAAUCUCCAGGCUUAACCUGGAAGGGUCGUUCGAUACUGUUAAGCUAGAGUGUGGAAGAGGCUACUGGAAUUCCGUGUGUAGCGGUGAAAUGCGUAGAUAUCGGGAGGAACAUCUGUGGCGAAGGCGACUACCUGGACCAGCACUGACACUGAGGCACGAAAGCGUGGGGAGCAAACAGGA
rnacentral:rRNA from 1 species